GUGGAGUAAUGGCCUACCAAGGCUAUGACGGAUAGCUGGUCUGAGAGGAUGAUCAGCCACACUGGAACUGAGACACGGUCCAGACUCCUACGGGAGGCAGCAGUGGGGAAUUUUACACAAUGGGCGAAAGCCUGACGUAGCAACGCCGCGUGGAGGAUGACGGAUUUAGGUCUGUAAACUCCUUUUAUAAGGGAAGAAAUUUGACGGUACCUUAUGAAUAAGCACCGGCUAACUCCGUGCCAGCAGCCGCGGUAAUACGGGGGGUGCAAGCGUUACUCGGAAUCACUGGGCGUAAAGGGAGCGUAGGCGUUCUAUUAAGUCUUGAGUGAAAGCCCGCAGCCUAACUGCGGAACUGCUCAGGAAACUGAUAGAAUUGAGUAUGGAAGGGGUAGGUGGAAUUUCCAGUGUA
rnacentral:rRNA from 1 species